CCUACGAGUGGCAGCAGUAGGGAAUUUUGCGCAAUGGGGGAAACCCUGACGCAGCAACGCCGCGUGAUCGAUGCAGCCCUUCGGGGUGUAACGAUCUGUCAGUGGGGACGAAAACUGACGGUACCCACAGAGGAAGCACCGGCUAACUCCGUGCCAGCAGCCGAGGUAAUACGGGGGGUGCAAGCGUUGUCCGGAAUCAUUGGGCGUAAAGAGUUCGUAGGUGGCACGAUAAGUCUGGUGUUAAAGGCGGAAGAUCAACGUCCGUAGGGCACUGGACACUGGCGAGAUUGAAUGCGGUAGAGGUAAAGGGAAGUGCUGGUGUAGCGGUGAAAUGCGUAGAUAGCAGGAGGAACAUCGGUGGCGUAAGCGCUUUACGGGGCCGUAAUUGACACUGAGGAACGAAAGCCGGGGUAGCAAAUGGGAGUAGAUACCCCAGUAGUC
rnacentral:rRNA from 1 species